AAUACAGGUAUCUGGCCUCAAGGAGUUUACAGUUUCAUAGGAGAAAGAAAAACAAAACUAGCAAUUCUGAAUCUUUCUCUUUUUCCAGCGUUACAGUGUUUCUGCCACCUCUGUACAAAAGACAAUUUUACUUGUGUGACAGAUGGGCUCUGCUUUGUCUCUGUCACAGAGACCACAGACAAAGUUAUACACAACAGCAUGUGUAUAGCUGAAAUUGACUUAAUUCCUCGAGAUAGGCCGUUUGUAUGUGCACCCUCUUCAAAAACUGGGUCUGUGACUACAACAUAUUGCUGCAAUCAGGACCAUUGCAAUAAAAUAGAACUUCCAACUACUGUAAAGUCAUCACCUGGCCUUGGUCCUGUGGAACUGGCAGCUGUCAUUGCUGGACCAGUGUGCUUCGUCUGCAUCUCACUCAUGUUGAUGGUCUAUAUCUGCCACAACCGCACUGUCAUUCACCAUCGAGUGCCAAAUGAAGAGGACCCUUCAUUAGAUCGCCCUUUUAUUUCAGAGGGUACUACGUUGAAAGACUUAAUUUAUGAUAUGACAACGUCAGGUUCUGGCUCAG
rnacentral:lncRNA from 10 species